CGCAUCACUGCCAUCUCAUGUUUAGUAAGUGCUUAUCUUUCAGCCUUUGUGUUAUCUAAGUGCAUCAUGUUAAAACAGUCUAUUGAGAUGAUUCAUGUCAUGCCCAGGAACAUGUGCACACUCACAUAUGUUCUUCUCUAUGCUGUUCCCUAGACAGCAUAAGCUGAAGCUUCACAGCAGACAAAGCUCUGUUCAACAUUGUCAUGAAAUGGAGAAAGAAAUCCUGCUGGGAUAUCGUGCAGAGUGUGUGAAAUUAAGGCAAGAGAACUUUGUGGAAGAAACCAGAGGGAGGAGAAGAU